CCUACGGGAGGCAGCAGUGAGGAAUAUUGGUCAAUGGGCGCGAGCCUGAACCAGCCAAGUAGCGUGAAGGAUCUCUGCCCUACGGGUUGUAAACUUCUUUUAUAAAUGACUAAUGUGAGGCAACUGUGCCUUUUUGUAUGGACUUAAUGAAUAAGGAACGGCUAACUCCGUGCCAGCAGCCGCUGUAAUAAGGAGGAUCCGAGCGUUAUCCGGAUUGAUUGGGUUUAAAGGGAGCGUAGAUGGGUUGUUAAGUCAGUUGUGAAAGUUUGCGGCUCAACCGUAAAAUUGCAAUUGAAACUGGCAGCCUUGAGUACAGUUGAGGUAGGCGGAAUUCGUGGUGUAGCGGUGAAAUGCUUAGAUAUCACGAAGAACUCCGAUUGCGAAGGCAGCUUACUAAACUGCCACUGACAUUGAUGCUCGAAAGUGUGGGGAUCAAACAGGAUUAGAUACCCGAGUAGUC
rnacentral:rRNA from 1 species